GGAGAGGUUCCAGAGUGGCUAAAUGGGGCAGACUGUAAAUCUGCUGGCUCCGCCUACGGUGGUUCGAAUCCACCCCUCUCCACCA
rnacentral:tRNA from 3 species